UAGACAGUUUAUAUUUAAUUCAACCUUCCUCUACGUCGGUUGAAUCAGUGAUUCCAGCUCACAGGGGCAUGAAAGCUGAUGGUCUACUGGUGUCUCAUUGGAUGAAAUUGAAGUCGCUUGGGUAAAUCCAAACAAUGAUGUCACAAAACAACAAAUUAAGACUUAACUGAUGGAGACAGAAGACGAUAAACAACCCCUAUGCUAUCCCACAAGCAGAAACCUCAGGUUUUCUCUAAGGCCUUUGGUGAAGUAAAGGAACCGACUCUACAGUCUGUCUAGCAGAACGCCAACAUCAGAAACAAAUUUUUCCCAAAAAUGCCUUAACUAUUACCCUCUGGUGCAUUGGUUUAUUGCGUUAAAACCCAGAAGUGUCGCCCUCUCAGAGCCUGUCACACUGAGGAACACCAAGCAGCUGAUUAGCACACGUGAACGCUGACCCUUUAACCUUCAAGUCACUGAGGCCGACCCACUGUGACGCCUCAGGCUGCCGCGCAGCAUCCGCUCUGAUGCACGUCACGAGAAGGCAGCAAAAAUGUUUAACUUAUAAAAGAAUGUAAAGGGAGCGCACGGUGUAUAGAAUGGAUGUACUGGCGCUGUAAAGUUAAACACAGCAAAGCAGAUGCGGUGAUAUGUGAACUAAAUGGAUAUAUUGGCUAGAAAUGCAAUACUGCCAGCUCAGGCGCUGGCAGGCGCUGCGAGACUGCAUUAGUCAUAUAACUGUCAGGAGUUUCCAAAUCCUUUAUUGCCUCCUCUGCAGACGAACGGCUAUUUAUCUUAAGUAGAAUUAAAGCAGAGAUAAAGAGUCUAUUUCAUCGGUGCUGGCAAAUUAAAGUUAUGAUAUACAGCAUGAGAUCAGGGUUGAAAUGAGAGGUUGUUAAGAGUAAACAGCAAGACAGAUUGCCGGUCCUGGGGAGAUUUAGUUCAAGUCUGUAACUAAGUACCUUCUGGUCUCCUUCAAUCAUCCCUCCGUUUCUCUCUGUGUUUCUUUGAAGCCGACCCUAAGGACCAAACCCAGGCCGCAGCCAUCUGAGCUCAGUGACAGCCACGAUAGACGAACAGGAAUCCUUAAAUCACAACCCAAGCUGCGGCCGUGCUACUACAUUUAGGAAUCAAGAAUCCAAACAAUCUACAUGCAGGGGGAUCAUGCAGCCCAACGAGGGGGGACACUUAUUUUGCAGAAGCCUACUCACCCCUCCUUCCGUGGGACUGGCGACCCAUCCCAGCUCCCCCUGCACAGAUCUGGAGUCCAACAACGUGACUGGAAAACAAGAGGAGGAGAGCUGAAAGUGGCUGCAUUCGUUCUGUGGGCGAUGAUGGACUGAGCGUGGUUAUCUAACCCGCAGUGACAGCAACAGGAGCUUAUGGAGUUACACACAGAAGAGAAUAGAGCUGUCGAGGUGUCGAGCACAUUGAUGACUACACGCUGUGUGUGUGCAUCCUUCUACAGCGGCCACUCCACACUGGGUUAUCACCGUGGCCCAGUCCCCAGUGAGCAAGUGCUGCAUUAAACCACUUCAACCACCGCGAGUCCACUUACAGCUAAAAGCAGAAGCCCACCCGUAACUUGGCACACCGGGGCAAUCAACGUGCGGGGCGGAGUGUCGGAGAGUGUCGGAGGGGUCUCUGCCUACCAUGACAGAUGGGAGUGGGGUCAUCGGAGAGCCAAGCUUUUCAUCUAACACUACUUGGAGCAGAGCGGUAUAACACACACACACACACACCUACACAUCAGCGUCUGUGUUAUUGAAAGUAAAUGAAAACAUUUAUCUUCACCUUAUCUUUCACAUUUAACGACGAGGAUUUUCAGACUGAUGUUUAUCCUUGAAUGCAUUAAAAAGUAAUACAUCACUGGUGAAACUGAGUCCGUUUAGAAAGGACUCACUGUAUGAAGUCAAAAUGGCACUCGGUCCAUGGUUGUCCAGGAUAGAAGGCAUUAAAGUGCACCACCAACGACAGCAGUAAUAAUAAUAAUCUGCCUGAUUUUUAAAAUCACGAGUCACAUCUGAGAAAACAAACAAAGAUUUAAAUAAUCAGAAUCAAUUUUUAAAAUAUUCUUCAGUCGGUGAUUCCCAGCAUUUUGUUUUUGGCUUGUGACCCCAGCUGGACAUCACAAAGUUCUGGCAACCCCAGAAACAUGUCAGUCAUGUGAUCGCAGCCCUGAAUCAAGAUCUCAAGAUUUAUUUGAUUUAUAUACAUGAAAUUUGUUUUUUUUUUAUCAUAACCUAAAAAAGAACAAUAAUUUUUAAACAAUAGUUAUAUCAGUAAAACAGGCAUUUCUACCAAAAUAUUAAACUGUAGUCUACAUCAGUCACAAACCUUUGUGAGGUAAAAGUCUGACUACACCAAGUUAUUAUUUUCUCCAUCUUUGACUUUCUGUGGAGUUCCACCUUACACUCUUUACCUUUUCCACAGUGGAGUUGUGACUAAAAGAUGGUUCAGUGUUGAAGCCGGUUUAUAAUGGACAUCGGAGACAUUAAAGGUUUGACUUUGUGGCACACACUGAGAAAAAGAUCAGGAAGAAAAAUGACUAACAUGUAUUACUCCAGGCUGAGAGCCAUUAAAGAAACAUUUUGUAGAUAAUUACGUGGAUGUCCUCCGGGGUAAUACAUUAGGUCUACAGUCUAACUACUUCACUAAUGAAAGAGAAGUCUCACUGCCUGGAGUGCCCACACUGAUUUUCUGAAGCUGAAAAUAAACACUUCCCAUUCUUGGUCUUUCGCAAAUAAACCAACGCGGAGAGCAUGAAUGUAUCAUGUCCAAAGAAGGACGUGGUUCUCCCGUGCUCUGUGCUUACGGUAUUUCACCAGUGAAGAGCAACAUUAAAGAAAAAUGAUUCAUGACUUUCACCUGGUUGAGCACUUAUCAGCUAGUAAAUACUAGAGGAAAGUUCCACAGGUCAGCUUCCUUCUUCUUCAUGCCAGAAGUUGUUUGGCUUUAUCUCUGGGAAAUGUAUUCAUGUUACAACAGAAGUUUUUAUGCUGUGGUGUCAGCAACAAAAUCCAACAACAACUAACUCCUCUGUGAAACUCCCUGCAGUGCCAUUACUCAGUUUUGGUUGGCAUGGAGGAAUAACUCUGUGACUCCCUGCAACACCCUGACCAGCAGGGAUGCUGCUGCUGCUGCUGCUGCUGCUGCUGCGGUGGCUGCCAGCCAGUCAGCACAAUGAGCCCUGGCCUCUGGUUUUCACUGCUUGGACCCUGAUAACAAGAAGCCUGUGAUGCUACAACACUCUGGUUUGUUAACCGUGCAUAUUAUUCUAUAAAAAGUUUGUUUGUGAAAAUGCGGCAGAGAACUCCGGCUACAGCAGGCCGAGCUGCAGUCACAGCUCCAGGCUGGAUGUCAGUCAGUCAGAGUUUUCCUGUAUCAUCCAUCAUGACGGCACAGUGUAUUGUGACUUGCAUGCAAUGUCAACUUGAUCCAAGUAUAAUUAAAGUUUUGUAUACACUAUGUGCCCUUCAGUCACUUUCAACAAUGAUGUAACACGAUAGGCGUUUGUUUACUGAAACCUAGUAGGGCUGUAAUACUUUCCCAUUCCACAAUACUUUUCUUUUAUAUUAUACCUUUCAGUCUCUAAAGAACCUGAUACGCCCACAGGGAUGUAUGAAAACACGCAAUGCUUUCAAUUGUUGUUUUUGUAUGAUACCAGUGACAAUGCACAACUGUGUUACAAGUCAAAAUAGGCAACUGAAUCUGUGGGUCAGGCAAUGUAGCUCAGGUGGUGAGUGGGAGAGUAUUUCCCAGUGGCAGAUUUUUUCAGAAUUUUAGGUCCAUAUAUAAAAGCCUUAAAGUAUUCCCAAUUGAUUUAUUAAUAAUAAGAAUAAGACCUAACUGUGAGGUCUGUCUGCCUUCCUUCCCUUCAGUCUGUUUAUUUGGGUUGAUUGGUGUAAUCACACUCACCUCUGUCCUGCGUUUCCAUGGUAACCAGUCUCACUCGUGUCACCUGGUGUUGUCUCCUUCACUCAGACCUGUCUGUUCAUUGGUCAGUGUUCCUGGGUCGUUGUGAUGUCAUGUUCGUUCCUGUCAGUUGCUCCUGUCAUGAGCCCAUUUAGUGAAGUGAUGGAGUGACACGGGGAUUUGAAAGAGGACGUGGAGACAGAAAUGAGAGGAGAAGGAGGACAGCUGCGAUGACAGAGGAUUGUGGGAAAUGAAGACAGGACUAUACUACGACAACAAGAGCAGUUUGUGAAGGAACUCAAGUCAAAUUGUCCUGAAUGUCUUACACACGUGCAGCACAUGAAUCAAAGAGGAGAAACAGCUGACCAAGCAGCUGAGCCGCCGUCCGUGGAGAACCUUCACGCAGAUACAAGCUCUAAUGGUCUCUCCAGCCUGACAUCUGUGACGACACAGUGCUGUUUCAUACAGCAGUUUCCUCUGCUGAGCCAUGAAAUUGUAUCACCUCACUGUCGGAUGUGCGAACGCUUCAGCUUCAUGAACUCGUACGGGGACAGAUGGCCACGGUGUAGGUGUAGUCACCGGACAGACAUCACACGUCAACCAUCAAGAGCGUACGAACUCACGUACCAACGCAAUGGCUUUUAAGAUUUGGACCUUGUGUGCGGGCACGUGUGUCAAAAGGCUGAAAUCACAAACCGAGGUGGACGUUUGACAGAUUAAGGAGCCAGGAAGCAGAAGGUCUGAUGCCUCAACAUUAAUCAAAAGGUUUUAUUUAGAAGUUUUUUUGUUUUUUACAAUUGUGAAUGAGAUGCUCACUUCUGACUCUUUGUGUCACUGAAACAAGCUGCAAAAUAUAAAAGUAUAAAAUUAAAAGCUGCAAUAUUAUAAUAUCAGUGAUUAUUUUGGGAGAGCAUGCUUCAGUGACUAAAAUGUGUGUUUGUUGUGUCCAGCUGGCAGCUAUGUUUUCUGAGUGAGAAUUUGUGUCUGAAAAACCAUUAACCGUUUAAAAGACAGAGAAGCUCAGACACUCACACAGUAGGCAACACCUGGCACGAGGAAAUAGAAAAUAUCUUUCUUUUAACUGAAAAUAAAUAAAUAAAUAAAUACUUUUUUGGCAGAACCAGACUCUGGGUGUGUAGCCAUCUGUGUCAGGAACAUGAGAAAGACAGGAGAGGUAGAAGAAAAGAUGUGGAAUUAAAAGGGAGCAGGACGAGAAGAGACAAAUGAAAGAGACUUGGAGGCAAUAUAUAAAUUAAUUUUUAUUACUAAAAAUGUCAAUAAUAAACAUCACAGAUGGCUGAAAAAAAUAACUUUGUUAAAAGGUAAAUGGGCAAAGGUAGAAAGUAACAAAUUACAAUUACUCACAUCAUCAUCAUCAUCAUGUUACUAAAUUUCUGUUUUGUGAGUAAUUUGUAAUUUUUAAGUAGUUUUGGCAAUAGGUCAUUUUACUUUCUCGAAGUACAUUUCGACUCAUGUAUUUUACUUCGUUUCCUACCCACUAUUUUUAAUAUAGCCAGAUAACAUAGGAUUGUUGUACCUAAUCCCCGGGCCGCGAACCGGCACAGGUCCGUCGGUCAAUUGGUACCGUGCCUCACAGAAAGGAUGCAUAACUUACAUUAUUUCCGUUUUACUGAUCAUCUAAUUCUGAGCGAUGUUUUAUUUUGAAAAAUUACCGGAUUCUCUCCGCUGCAUCUGUCUGUGACUCCCACUUGAUGCAUAUCAAGAUGAUCACCUCGGUCACGUGUCUUACCUACAUCCGCUACCUUUUUAAAGGGGCUACUGCGGCCGGCAACACUGCUAAAUUAACCCCCAAGCUAGCAAGAAAAACAGAAAACAAACGUCAACAAACAAACGCCAAUGAUGAGACAGAGGAAGAACCUACGCCUUCAAAGAAAAAGCGAGCUGCAUUUAACAAACAAUUCCAGGAGUCCUACUUGAAAUAUGGAUUUACUGCGACAGGUUGUUACCACGCGCUGCCUAAAAUACGGAUGAGACUUUGAACACUGCUUCGCCUCUUGGAGACCUUUGGAGGUUCUAUCCUGUCGUUGGAUGAUGGCUGGUGCCGAACAAACAAUGGAGGUUGAGGAUUAUUCAGCAGAGCUUGUCCAGCUCUGUUUUCACAUGCAAAAUAUACCUGUACCGGAGGACACAUGUGUCAGCUCUUUUUAAAUCUUCCACUUCAGACCUGCGAAAGCAAAUGGCGGUAAGUAGAAUGUCUGUGCUUUUGCCUGUGUCGUAAACUUUGUUUAUUGUUUGGUUAAGACCUUACAACUUCCUUCGAUUAUUUUAGCUUAGCAUCCAUCCAGAUAGCUAACGUUUGAGUGACGUAGAGCAGUACCAGAGCACAGUCAGGAAUAAUACUGUGAUGAAUAUAUAAAUACAAGUGCAUGGUUUUACUUGGAACUGGUCUGUAAUGAAAUAAUCUUAAUUCGUGUGUAGUUAAAAUCCAACAUUUUAAAGUGUUUUUAUUCGAAUUGUUGAUUUUAAACAAGUUGUUGCACAUUGGAUGUUUUGAAUUAUGUAAAACUUGUUUACUUUCAGAUUAGAUUAGAUUCUGUUGUAGUAGAUUUUUAGAUUGAUUUGGCUUUUUUUUUGCUUGGGCAGAAUUUAAGCAAAGUAAAGAUAAUGUUAUAUAAUUACAUUUUUUGUACUUUUUCUACCUCUGCCUAAACUAAGCCUUUUUCACUACUUAUUGUAUUUGGACUUCAUUGGAUGCUGGGCUUCACCAGCAGUGGUUACACCUAAUGUCCAAUAGAGGUCAGUGUUUAGCAGCAGAAAAACUGAAAACUAUUAGUUGCUUUUACGUGUCCUUUGUUUUGCAGUUAAAUGUACAAUUUCAAAUGUCGUUGCUGUUGUUAACUUUUAUGUUAAUGUCAUGGUCAGAUGAAGAAAAAUAAUGAUGACAAUUUUCAUUCAAUUUUGAUGACAAAAAGUUUAAUCUUUUCUGCAUGUUUCUCAUAAAUUAAAUCAAAUUUGAUAAUCAAAUGAUCGAAAAAUAUUUUGAAAAAUUCCAAUGUACAGACCAUAUUUACCACUGUCCACAGAAAGAAAGAAAAUAAAACAUAUACAUAUGAAACAUACACUUAAAAUGUCAUUCUAAUCAGGUCUAGAGUGUGUGAAUCAUCGUAUUAUUAUUAUAAUAAUAAUUAAUAUUAUAAUUAUUAUUGUUCAAAACUGUAUGAAUGCUGUUUGAAUUGAAUUGUUACACAUGGCUGUCAUAUGAAUAAACCUCAGAGAAGGAAUUGCAUCAAUAGUUUUUGUUUCUGUUUAAAUGAGGUCAGUGUUUCCACUCUGCAGAGACAGGACUCACAGACUCUCACAUCUCUUACAUAUCUGAGCUGAAUGUUACGAAUAACCACUGGAUUUGGUUUCUGCUGUGAUUAUAGCUGCUCCUGUCAUGGUGUGUCAUGGGUGAGUGGGUGACAGUUGUCUUUAUUAGUUGACUUCAGUGAUAGCGAUUCAGUGUAUGAACCUUAGAACGUGAGAUCACAUGUUCUCUUCCUUUAUAAUUAUUACCUUUGUUCCGCCUUCACAGGGACAGGGUUUCUUAAACAGACCACUCCACAAAAACGUAUAUAACUUAUUAUAAACUGAAGUCUUUCUUGGGGUUCUUUAGGCAGUAAUUAGUGGUCAGUGGUUAGAUACAGACGGCAUCAAAUCACGACUGAAAUGUCACUCAAACUUUGCAUCUGUUAAAUAUUUAAUUUGAUAAUUACUGGUCUAAUUUACUCAUACAUUAUGACUGUGAUUUCUUUGCAUUAUUAUCUAUUUAAAAUGUUUUAUCUAUUUAAUUUUAUCCUGAUUUUAGUGAUUUACAAUUAGGGUUGAAGAGUUCCGGACUGGACAUGAAAUCCAGAACUCUUCAACCUUGACCGUGGCCUGAGAAUAUUCAUGGACACGAUUUACGAUUUACACUUUUAGUAAUUAAACAAGCUCAGGUGAUUGACUAAUAGUUUUCCAU